GAUUCAAGGAAUAAGUGUUUUGUGCGCGCGCGUGUGUGUGUAUACCUUUGCGAAACGAGCUAGUGCAAGUGAUUUCUUUGAACAUAUGGCGUAACGAGCACAUUAGGAUACAGAGCUUCACGACGCUUCAUAUGCAAGAGUGGCGAUGGUUUGGCUUCUUCUUCUUCUUCUUUUGUGAUUAAUGGCCCUGGUCUUCGUUGACGAGAUAAACUCUAG